GACGAACGCUGGCGGCGUGCUUAACACAUGCAAGUCGAACGGAAAGGCCCUGCUUUUGUGGGGUGCUCGAGUGGCGAACGGGUGAGUAACACGUGAGUAACCUGCCCUUGACUUUGGGAUAACUUCAGGAAACUGGGGCUAAUACCGGAUAGGAGCUCCUGCUGCAUGGUGGGGGUUGGAAAGUUUCGGCGGUUGGGGAUGGACUCGCGGCUUAUCAGCUUGUUGGUGGGGUAGUGGCUUACCAAGGCUUUGACGGGUAGCCGGCCUGAGAGGGUGACCGGCGACAUUGGGACUGCGAUACGGCCCAGAAUCCUACGGGAGGCAGCAGUGGGGAGUAUUGCACAAUGGGCGGAAGCCUGAUGCAGCAAUGCCGCGUGCGGGAUGCCGGCCUUUGGGUUGUAAACCGCUUUCGCCUGUGACGAAGCGUGAGUGACGGUAAUGGGUAAAGAAGCACCGGCUAACUACGUG
rnacentral:rRNA from 1 species